GCGACCCCAGGUCAGUC
rnacentral:rRNA from 1 species